rnacentral:rRNA from 1 species
UAGUUCAGCACUAAGUCACUUUGUCUUAAUGGCAAAUGUGAGAUGCAGUGUAUGGAAUGUCAAAUUUCUAGUAUGAGAAAUUAACGAUUUAAGUCCUUCUUAAAUGAGGCCAUUUACCCAAAGAGGGUGCCAGGCCCGUAUAACGUUAAUGAUUACUAGAUGGCAUUUCCAAAGAGUCGUGUUGCUUGAUAGUGCAGCACUAAGUGGGUGGUAAACUCCAUCUAAAACUAAAUAUAACCAUGAGACCGAUAGUAAACAAGUACCGUGAGGGAAAGUUGAAAAGAACUCUGAAUAGAGAGUUAAAUAGUACGUGAAACUGCUUAGAGGUUAAGCCCGAUGAACCUGAAUAUCCAUUAUAGAAAAUUCAUCAUUAUGAUUUUAAUAUUUAUAAUAUUAUAAUAAUGGUGUGCAUUUUUUCUAUAAAAGGACAUUGUAAUCUAUUAACAUCAAAUAUUUAUCAAAAGAUCAAUUGCAAAUGUUUAUUCAAAUUAUUUUGCUUGCAAUUUAACAUAGAAUAAAUGCUUUUGAUUUGAUAAAGUGUUGAUAGAUUUAUUAUAUAUAGUGCUUGAAUAUUUAUAUUCUAUAAUAGCAUAUUAAUCAUUGAUUUUUAUGUUUAUUAUAUGCACUUAUAUGAUUAACAAUGCGAAAGAUUCAGGAUACCUUCGGGACCCGUCUUGAAACACGGACCAAGGAGUCUAACAUAUUUGCAAGUUAUUGGGAAUAAAAACCUAAUAGCGAAAUUAACAUAACUUAUUUAAUGGGAUUAAUUUUUAGCCUAUUUUUAUAGUCUAUUAAUUCAAUCCCGGGGCGUUCUAUAUAGUUAUGUAUAAUAAUAUUUAUAUUAUUUAUACCUCUAACUAGAGCGUACCUUGAGCAUAUAUGCUGUGACCCGAAAGAUGGUGAACUAUACUUGAUCAGGUUGAAGUCAGGGGAAACCCUGAUGGAAGACCGAAA